rnacentral:rRNA from 1 species
AGCAGCCGCGGUAAUUCCAGCUCCAAUAGCGUAUAUUAAAGUUGUUGCAGUUAAAAAGCUCGUAGUUGAAUUUCGGGGUUAGUAGGUUGGUCAUGCCACUGGUAUGUACUGAUCUUACUGAUUCCUCCUUCCUGAUGAACCGUAAUGCCAUUAAUUUGGUGUUGCGGGGAGACUGGACUGUUACUUUGAAAAAAUUAGAGUGUUUAAAGCAGGCUAACGCUUGAAUACAUUAGCAUGGAAUAAUGAAAUAGGACGUUCGAUCCUAUUUUGUUGGUUUCUAGGAUUGACGUAAUGAUUAAUAGGGAUAGUUGGGGGCAUUAGUAUUCAAUUGUCAGAGGUGAAAUUCUUGGAUUUAUUGAAGACUAACUACUGCGAAAGCAUUUGCCAAGGAUGUUUUCAUUAAUCAAGAACGAAAGUUAGGGGAUCGAAGACGAUCAGAUACCGUCGUAGUCUUAACCAUAAACUAUGCCGACUAGGGAUCGGAUGAUGUUAAUUUUUUAAUGACUCACUUCGGCGCCUU